UCACGUGGUCGCUUUAUUGUCAAC
rnacentral:siRNA from 1 species